GCUACGGGAGGCAGCAGUGGGGAAUAUUGCGCAAUGGGCGAAAGCCUGACGCAGCGACGCCGCGUGAGGGAUGAAGGUCUUCGGAUCGUAAACCUCUGUCAGCAGGGAAGAACGGUCACUGUGCUAAUCAGCAGUGAAUUGACGGUACCUGCAAAGGAAGCACCGGCUAACUCCGUGCCAGCAGCCGCGGGAAUACGGAGGGUGCGAGCGUUAAUCGGACGUACUGGGCGUAAAGCGCUCGUAGGCGGUAUGUCAAGUCAAGGGUGAAAGCCCCGCGCGCAACGUGGGAACUGCAUUUGAAACUGGCAAACUGGAGUGUGUGAGAGGAUAGUGGAAUUCCAGGUGUAGGAGUGAAAUCCGUAGAUAUCUGGAGGAACAUCAGUGGCGAAGGCGACUAUCUGGCACAUAACUGACGCUGAGGAGCGAAAGCGUGGGUAGCAAACAGGAUUAGAUGCCCCGGAUAGUC
rnacentral:rRNA from 1 species